GAGGGGCAGCAUUCUUAGCUUGCUAAGGCGAUGGCGACCGGCGCACGGGUGAGUAACACGUAUCCACCUGCCGUCUACUCUUGGCCAGCCUUCUGAAAGGAAGAUUAAUCCAGGAUGGCUUCACAUGUCUAAAGGUAUUCGGUAGACGAUGGGGAUGCGUUCCAUUAGAUAGUAGGCGGGGUAACGGCCCACCUAGUCAACGAUGGAUAGGGGUUCUGAGAGGAAGGUCCCCCACAUUGGAACUGAGACACGGUCCAAACUCUACGGGAGGCAGCAGUGAGGAAUAUUGGUCAAUGGGCGAUGGCCUGAACCAGCCAAGUAGCGUGAAGGAUGACUGCCUAUGGGUUGUAAACUUCUUUUAUAAAGGAAUAAGUCGGGUAUGCAUACCCGUUUGCAUGUACUUUAUGAAUAAGGAUCGGCUAACUCCGUGCCAGCAGCCGCGGUAAUACGGAGGAUCCGAGCGUUAUCCGGAUUUAUUGGGUUUAAAGGGAGCGUAGAUGGAUGUUUAAGUCAGUUGUGAAAGUUUGCGGCCCAACCGUAAAAUUGCAGUUGAUACUGGAUGUCUUGAGUGCAGUUGAGG
rnacentral:rRNA from 1 species